rnacentral:rRNA from 1 species
AAAAGCCUCUAAGCUUCAGAUAGUCAGGAAUCGUACCCCAAACCGACACAGGUGGUCGGGUAGAGAAUACCAAGGCGCUUGAGAGAACUCGGGUGAAGGAACUAGGCAAAAUGGUACCGUAACUUCGGGAGAAGGUACGCUCUUGAUGGUGAAGUCCCUCGCGGAUGGAGCUGACGAGAGUCGCAGAUACCAGGUGGCUGCAACUGUUUAUUAAAAACACAGCACUGUGCAAAAUCGCAAGAUGACGUAUACGGUGUGACGCCUGCCCGGUGCCGGAAGGUUAAUUGAUGGGGUUAGCGCAAGCGAAGCUCUUGAUCGAAGCCCCGGUAAACGGCGGCCGUAACUAUAACGGUCCUAAGGUAGCGAAAUUCCUUGUCGGGUAAGUUCCGACCUGCACGAAUGGCGUAAUGAUGGCCACGCUGUCUCCACCCGAGACUCAGUGAAAUUGAAAUCGCUGUGAAGAUGCAGUGUACCCGCGGCUAGACGGAAAGACCCCGUGAACCUUUACUACAGCUUGGCACUGAACAUUGAACCUACAUGUGUAGGAUAGGUGGGAGGCUAUGAAGACGUGACGCCAGUUGCGUUGGAGCCGUCCUUGAAAUACCACCCUUGUAUGUUUGAUGUUCUAACUUAGACCCAUUAUCUGGGUUGAGGACAGUGCCUGGUGGGUAGUUUGACUGGGGCGGUCUCCUCCCAAAGAGUAACGGAGGAGCACGAAGGUGGGCUAAUCACGGUUGGACAUCGUGAGGUUAGUGCAAUGGCAUAAGCCCGCUUAACUGCGAGAAUGACGGUUCGAGCAGGUGCGAAAGCAGGUCAUAGUGAUCCGGUGGUUCUGUAUGGAAGGGCCAUCGCUCAACGGAUAAAAGGUACUCCGGGGAUAACAGGCUGAUACCGCCCAAGAGUUCAUAUCGACGGCGGUGUUUGGCACCUCGAUGUCGGCUCAUCACAUCCUGGGGCUGAAGUCGGUCCCAAGGGUAUGGCUGUUCGCCAUUUAAAGUGGUACGCGAGCUGGGUUUAGAACGUCGUGAGACAGUUCGGUCCCUAUCUGCCGUGGGCGUUGGAAGAUUGAAGGGGGCUGCUCCUAGUACGAGAGGACCGGAGUGGACGAACCUCUGGUGUUCGGGUUGUGUCGCCAGACGCAUUGCCCGGUAGCUAAGUUCGGAAUUGAUAAGCGCUGAAAGCAUCUAAGCGCGAAGCGAGCCCUGAGAUGAGUCUUCCCUGAU